UUAAAGCUAAUCUUAGUGAUAAGAUGGAUGUAUUUGAAACAUUAGUUUUCAGCAGGAGCUGAGCUUUAGA
rnacentral:tRNA from 1 species